UACGUAGGGAGCAAGCGUUGUCCGGAAUCAUUGGGCGUAAAGCGCGCGUAGGCGGCCCGAUAAGUCCGCUGUAAAAGUCCAGGGCUCAACCCUGGAAAGCCGGUGGAUACUGUCGGGCUCGAGUCCGGAAGAGGCGAGUGGAAUUCCUGGUGUAGCGGUGGAAUGCGCAGAUAUCAGGAGGAACACCGAUAGCGAAGGCAGCUCGCUGGGACGGUACUGACGCUAAGGCGCGAAAGCGUGGGGAGCGAACAGG
rnacentral:rRNA from 1 species